rnacentral:rRNA from 1 species
CCUACGGGGCGCAGCAGUGGGGGAUAUUGCACAAUGGGGGCAACCCUGAUGCAGCGACGCCGCGUGAGCGAUGGAGUACUUCGGUAUGUAAAGCUCUGUCAGCAGGGAAGAGAAUGACGGUACCUGACCAAGAAGCCCCGGCUAAAUACGUGCCAGCAGCCGCGGUAAUACGUAUGGGGCAAGCGUUAUCCGGAUUUACUGGGUGUAAAGGGAGCGUAGACGGCGCUGCAAGUCCGGAGUGAAAGCCCAUGGCUUAACCAUGGUACUGCUCUGGAAACUGUAGAGCUUGAGUGCGGGAGGGGCAGGCGGAAUUCCUAGUGUAGCGGUGAAAUGCGUAGAUAUUAGGAGGAACACCGGCGGCGAAGGCGGCCUGCUGGACCGUAACUGACGUUGAGGCUCGAAAGCGUGGGGAGCAAACAGGAUUAGAUACCCCGGUAGUC